UACGUAGGGUGCAAGCGUUGUCCGGAAUCAUUGGGCGUAAAGAGCGUGUAGGCGGCUUUACAGGUCCGUUGUGAAAACUCGAGGCUCAACCUCGAGACGCCGGUGGAAACCGUAAGGCUAGAGUCCGGAAGAGGAGAGUGGAAUUCCUGGUGUAGCGGUGAAAUGCGCAGAUAUCAGGAAGAACACCCGUGGCGAAGGCGGCUCUCUGGGCCGAUACUGACGCUGAGGCUCGAAAGCAUGGGGAGCAAACAGG
rnacentral:rRNA from 1 species